GAACUUAAGCAUAUCAAUAAGCGGAGGAAAAGAAACUAACAAGGAUUCCCCUAGUAACGGCGAGUGAAGCGGGAAGAGCUCAAAUUUGUAAUCUGGCACCUUCGGUGUCCGAGUUGUAAUCUCGAGAAGUGUUUUCCGCGCCGGACCGCAUACAAGUCUGUUGGAAUACAGCGUCAUAGUGGUGAGAACCCCGUACCUAAUGCGGAUGCCCGGUGCUUUGUGAUACACUUUCGAAGAGUCGAGUUGUUUGGGAAUGCAGCUCAAAUUGGGUGGUAAAUUCCAUCUAAAGCUAAAUAUUGGCGAGAGACCGAUAGCGAACAAGUACCGUGAGGGAAAGAUGAAAAGCACUUUGGAAAGAGAGUUAACAGUACGUGAAAUUGUUGGAAGGGAAACGCUUGAAGUCAGACUUGCUAUUCGGAAUUCAGCCGCAAGGUGUACUUUUCGAUUUGCAGGCCAGCAUCAGUUUUUGGGGAUGGAAAAGGGCCGGAGGAAGGUAGCAAUUUAGGUUGUGUUAUAGCCUUCGGCUGGAUUCAUCUUUGGGGACUGAGGAACGCAGCGCGCUUUUUGCAAGGCUCUCGAGCUUUCCGCGCUUAGGAUGCUGGUGGAAUGGCUUUAAACGACCCGUCUUGAAACACGGACCAAGGAGUCUAACAUGCUUGCGAGUGUUUGGGUGUCAAACCCGGACGCGCAAUGAAAGUGAAUGGAGGUGGGAUCCGCAAGGUGCACCAUCGACCGAUCUGGAUUUUCUAAGAUGGAUUUGAGUAAGAGCAAUUAUGUUGGGACCCGAAA
rnacentral:rRNA from 1 species